rnacentral:rRNA from 1 species
UACGGAGGGUGCAAGCGUUACUCGGAAUUACUGGGCGUAAAGGGUGCGUAGGCGGUUUGUUAAGUCUGCUGUGAAAUCCCCGGGCUCAACCUGGGAAUGGCAGUGGAUACUGGCAAGCUAGAGUGCGGUAGAGGGUAGUGGAAUUCCCGGUGUAGCAGUGAAAUGCGUAGAGAUCGGGAGGAACACCAGUGGCGAAGGCGGCUUCCUGGACCAGCACUGACACUGAAGCACGAAAGCGUGGGGAGCAAACAGG